UACGUAGGGGGCAAGCGUUGUCCGGAAUCAUUGGGCGUAAAGAGCGUGUAGGCGGCCCGUUAAGUCCGCCGUGAAAGCCCAGGGCUCAACCCUGGGAUGCCGGUGGAUACUGUCGGGCUAGAAUCCGGAAGAGGAGUGUGGAAUUCCCGGUGUAGCGGUGAAAUGCGCAGAUAUCGGGAGGAACACCCGUAGCGAAGGCGGCACUCUGGGCCGGAACUGACGCUGAGGAGCGAAAGCGUGGGGAGCAAACAGG
rnacentral:rRNA from 1 species